UAGGGAAUAUUGGGCAAUGGAUGCAAGUCUGACCCAGCCAUGCCGCGUGCCGGAUGAAGGCCCUCAGGGUUGUAAACGGCUUUUAUUCGGGAAGAAGAGCAGGGAUGCGUUCUUGUGUGACGGUACCGAAUGAAUAAGCACCGGCUAACUCCGUGCCAGCAGCCGCGGUAAUACGGAGGGUGCGAGCGUUGUCCGGAUUUAUUGGGUUUAAAGGGUGCGUAGGUGGCUUAAUAAGUCAGUGGUGAAAUACAGCCGCUCAACGGUUGCGGUGCCAUUGAUACUGUUAAGAUUGAUACAAGUGGAGGCUGCCGGAAUGGAUGGUGUAGCGGUGAAAUGCAUAGAUAUCAUCCAGAACACCAAUUGCGAAGGCGGGUGGCUACGUUUGAUUUGACACUGAGGAACGAAAGAAUGGAGAGCAAACA
rnacentral:rRNA from 1 species